CUACGGGUCGCUGCAGUGAGGAAUAUUGCACAAUGGGGGAAACCCUGAUGCAGCAACGCCGUGUGGAGGAUGACGCAUUUCGGUGUGUAAACUCCUUUUAUGAGUCAAGAAAAUGACGGUAGCUCAUGAAUAAGCACCGGCUAACUCCGUGCCAGCAGCCGCGGUAAUACGGAGGGUGCAAGCGUUACUCGGAAUCACUGGGCGUAAAGGACGCGUAGGCGGGAUGCCAAGUCAGGUGUGAAAUCCUAUGGCUCAACCAUAGAACUGCACUUGAAACUGGCAACCUAGAGUAUGGGAGGGGGAGAUGGAAUUAGUGGUGUAGGGGUAAAAUCCGUAGAUAUCACUAGGAAUACCGAAAGCGAAGGCGAUCUCCUGGAACAUUACUGACGCUAAGGCGUGAAAGCGUGGGGAGCAAACAGGAUUAGAUACCCCAGUAGUC
rnacentral:rRNA from 1 species